UUGGGCGUAAAGCGCUCGUAGGCGGUCUGUUAGGUCGGGAGUUAAAUUCGGGGGCUCAACCCCCGUUCGCUCCCGAUACCGGCAGACUUGAGUUUGGUAGGGGAAGGUGGAAUUCCUAGUGUAGCGGUGGAAUGCGCAGAUAUUAGGAAGAACACCAGUGGCGAAGGCGGCCUUCUGGGCCAUAACUGACGCUGAGGAGCGAAAGCUAGGGGAGCAAGCAGGAUUAGAUACCCUGGUAGUCCUAGCCGUAAACGAUGGACACUAGGUGUGGGGGAAUAUUUCUUCCGUGCCGCAGCUAACGCAUUAAGUGUCCCGCCUGGGGAGUACGGCCGCAAGGCUAAAACUCAAAGGAAUUGACGGGGGCCCGCACAAGCAGCGGAGCAUGUGGUUUAAUUCGAAGCAACGCGAAGAACCUUACCAGGGCUUGACAUUUAGGCGAAGCGGCGGAAACGUCGUGGCCGAAAGGAGCCUAAACAGGUGGUGCAUGGCUGUCGUCAGCUCGUGUCGUGAG
rnacentral:rRNA from 1 species